UAUUAUAUUAAUAUAAUUUAAUAUCAAUACAAUGAAUCCACUCUAUUAAAUAAAUACAAACUAACCAUCAUGGUUUCAUAAAAUAAAAUCCAUCUACUUUUACUAAAACCAAACAAAACGAAUAAAAACUCCUUCUUUAAUUUGGACAUCCCUUCUUUUUCCCUCUCCAAAACCCUUUCUCUCUUUCACGUGAAUUCAAGACUUAUAUCCAAAUUAUUGAACCUCUCCCUCCUCUUUCUAUAACUUCCAUUUCCAUUUUAAUGCAUCUUCUUUUUCUCAAGUUACAUAACUGAGACCUCAUCUUCUUUUCCUUCUCUCUUUCUUCUCAUUUACUUCAUCGGCACACACACACAUAUUUCACUCAUCCUACUAAAUCCCCAAACAAACUCUAACACUACCAUUAAGGAAUUAAACAUCUCUUCUCCACCCUCACUGUGGCCAACUUUCACUCUAGCUCAUAAACAUACACUAAAUAAUCCUAAACUUUUUCACUCUCUCCGUUUUAAAUUAUUCUCCAAACACUUCCUAAUUCGCGCAAAGCCCCAUUCCAUUACCUGCAACCUUUAACCAUCCCAACAAUUAAAUAUUUUUCUCCCACUAAAGUUAAAUCCAACAACUAAAAUACCCCAACGUAAACCCCAACUAACAUCUUCACUCACGUAUUCUCACACAUAUCCAUUCCACCUCUCGUAACCCUCAUCUUUCCCCUUACUAAAGCCAUCAUCUUCCCUUUCCAAACUUCAUAAAUGAAACCCCAACUCUUAGUGUACCCCAGGUUUCUCAAACAACCCAAAACACCAUGAAGGAAGCAAUAUAAUGAUUACUGAAACAACAAAAUAUUACAAAUAUCACAACAUCAUAAUCACAGUCAUUUACUUCAUGAGUAUCAUACAUACACAUCAAACAAAAC
rnacentral:lncRNA from 1 species